CAAGAUCAAUCGGAGUAUGUUAUGCCACUGGUUCUAUCUUCUAGGAAUGACAGCAACAAUUGGUGAGAUUUUCUCCUUGUUGUUCAUCUCUUAUAUAUCCCCUUGCUGAUCUCAACAAAUCACAGGACCUCAAGGAAUUCCUCAUGAUAAUCCCUAAUGCACAGAGAUGAGGUUGUGCUUCCUAUUGAACUCCAUGCAGUGAUAUUCCUCGCUUCUUAUCGUGGUUUGCCGCCGUUGCUACUACUGCUGUGCAGCAUGUGCCCUAGCUGCGAUGAAUCCGUUAUGCCACUGCACAUAUUUUCCCGUCGCUGGAAUCCAGGAAUCGUUUGCAUUGUGCUGCGGUAAGGGUCAUGGUUUUCUCUGUUUUUGCUGAGAAACUCAUGUUCAUCAUGUCCCCUCCUUGUUGUGACCUUUCAAGGAAAUACCAUCCUGCUGCAGUGCUUCAUGGAGGCCAUCUCAAUGUGCCGUGUCGCCUUCCGAAACCAGCAGCACAUCCCAUCGAUUGCCAACCGUUUUGCUGUCCAUCAUUGGCGUUGGUCGCCAUCGAGAUCAUGUCCAGCAACAAUGAACCUUGAUGUGAGUCCCUCCCCCCCUGUCUCAAUCUUGUAUACAUAUUCUUUUCCAUAAAUCAUGAGCCAUAGUCCAAGUUUGAUCAAAUUCUGUCAAAAGUUUUCCCGCAAUCGUGUUGCUGUCCUUUUUGGACAGCAGUGUUAUUGCCGGUCAGCGUUCAUGUUCUCCAUUGAUCUGUCAAGCUCUAUGAUGAAUCCUUUGAAUAUAACAUCAUUUAUAUAUUUGCACACGUCCCUGCAAAAUUUUAUAGCGAGAGACUUCAAGAUGAAAGAGAUAUAAUCGUCUUUUUAGUGCUUGCUGUCCCUGCUAUUUCAGCAGUGUUGUGCCUCUGUUUGGUAGUGAUGUUCCCCAUAAUACAUUAGUCAAAUCAUCAAACCAUUCA